UCGGGAAUUUUGGGCAAUGGGCGAAAGCCUGACCCAGCAACGCCGCGUGAAGGAUGAAGUAUUUCGGUAUGUAAACUUCGAAAGAAUAGGAAGAAUAAAUGACGGUACUAUUUAUAAGGUCCGGCUAACUACGUGCCAGCAGCCGCGGUAAUACGUAGGGACCAAGCGUUGUUCGGAUUUACUGGGCGUAAAGGGCGCGUAGGCGGCAAUUCAAGUCAUCUGUGAAAUCUCCGGGCUUAACUCGGAACGGUCAGAUGAUACUGCUUUGCUAGAGUGCAGAAGGGGCAAUCGGAAUUCUUGGUGUAGCGGUGAAAUGCGUAGAUAUCAAGAGGAACACCAGUGGCGAAGGCGACUUGCUGGACUUAUGGUGACGCUGAGACGCGAAAGCGUGGGGAGCAAACAGGAUUAGAUACCCUUGUAGUCCCUGAGCGGGCUGGCAAGGCGCAU
rnacentral:rRNA from 1 species